rnacentral:rRNA from 1 species
GAUGAACGCUAGCGACAGGCUUAACACAUGCAAGUCGAGGGGCAGCGGGGUUGUAGCUUGCUAUAACUGCCGGCGACCGGCGCACGGGUGAGUAACACGUAUGCAACCUGCCCGUUGCAGGGGGAUAAGCGGAAGAAAUUCCGUCUAAUACCGCGUAAUAUACUUUAGGGGCAUCCUUUUAGUAUUAAAGAUUUAUCGGCAACGGAUGGGCAUGCGGCGCAUUAGCUAGUUGGUGAGGUAACGGCUCACCAAGGCAACGAUGCGUAGGGGUUCUGAGAGGAAGGUCCCCCACACUGGUACUGAGACACGGACCAGACUCCUACGGGAGGCAGCAGUGAGGAAUAUUGGUCAAUGGGCGAGAGCCUGAACCAGCCAAGUCGCGUGAGGGAUGACGGUCCUACGGAUUGUAAACCUCUUUUGUCGGGGAGCAAGAGCUCUACGCGUAGAGUAGUGAGAGUACCCGAAGAAAAGCAUCGGCUAACUCCGUGCCAGCAGCCG